UACAGAGAGUGCGAACGUUGUUCGGAAUUACUGGGCUUAAAGCGCACGUAGGCGGCGCCGCAAGUGUUGGGUGAAAUCCCACGGCUUACCCGUGGAACUGCCUGGCAGACUGCGGUGCUAGAGGAUGGUAGGGGAGAGCGGAACUCCUGGGUGGAGUGGUGAAAUGCGUAGAUAUCAGGAGGAACACCGGUGGCGAAGGCGGCUCUCUGGUCCAUGACUGACGCUGAGGUGCGAAAGCUAGGGGAGCAAACGGG
rnacentral:rRNA from 1 species